rnacentral:rRNA from 1 species
GACGAACGCUGGCGGCGUGCUUAACACAUGCAAGUGGAGCGACGAACCGGGGCUUGCCCCGGGGCAGAGCCGUGAACGGGUGAGUAACACGUGGGUAACCUGCCUCAAUGAUUGGGACAACCCGGGGAAACUCGGGCUAAUACCAAAUGUGUUCACUCCUUCUAAGGGGAGUGAGGAAAGGAAGCUUCGGCCUCCGCAUUGAGAUGGGGCCCGCGGCCCAUUAGCUUGUUGGUGAGGUAACGGCUCACCAAGGCUUCGAUGGGUAGCUGGUCUGAGAGGACGAUCAGCCACACUGGGACUGAGACACGGCCCAGACUCCUACGGGAGGCAGCAGUGGGGAAUCUUGCACAAUGCGCGAAAGCGUGAUGCAGCAAGCCGCGUGGGGGAAGAC